rnacentral:rRNA from 1 species
AUGGGCGUCUUCACCUUCGUGUGCCGCGACUCCGGCGCCGAGUGGUCGGCCAAGCAGCACAAGGGCGAGCUCGAGGCCUCCGCCGCCACCCCCUACGACCUGCAGCGCCAGCUCGUGUCCGCCGCCUGCGCCGAGGACAAGUCCGGUGGCGUCCAGUCCUCCUUCACCAUGGUCUCCCCCAAGUCCGCCAUCUUCCAGGUGGUCAUUGGUGGCGCCUCUGCUGGUCCGAUCGGUGGUGGUGCUGCUGCAGGUGGUGCCGCUGCAUCAGGUGGAGCUGCCGCCGAGGCCCCCAAGGGUGAGGAGAAGAAGGAAGAGGAGAAGGAGGAGAGCGAGGAUGACCUUGGCUUCUCCCUCUUCGAUUAG